rnacentral:rRNA from 1 species
GACGAACGCUGGCGGCGUGCUUAACACAUGCAAGUCGAACGGGCUGGCUCUGGUUUUUUGCUGGGGUUGGUUAGUGGCGAACGGGUGAGUAACACGUGAGUAACCUGCCCUCUUCUCCUGGAUAACUGCUUGAAAGGGCGGCUAAUACGGGGUGGUCUGGCCUGCCUGCAUGGGUGGGUUGGUAUAGGUUCAACUUUGGUUGUUCUGGUGGGGGAUGGGCUCGCGGCUUAUCAGCUUGUUGGUGGGGUGAUGGCUUACCAAGGCUUUGACGGGUAGCCGGCCUGAGAGGGUGGACGGUCACACUGGGACUGAGAUACGGCCCAGACUCCUGCGGGAGGCAGCAGUGGGGAAUAUUGCACAAUGGGCGGAAGCCUGAUGCAGCGACGUCGCGUGAGGGAUGGAGGCCUUCGGGUUGUGAACCUCUUUUUCCGGUGGUGAAGGCCUGCCCCUUGGUGGGUGGGUUGACGGUAGCCGGGUUAGGAAGCGCCGGCUAACUACGUG